rnacentral:rRNA from 1 species
UACGAAGGGGGCUAGCGUUGUUCGGAAUUACUGGGCGUAAAGCGCACGUAGGCGGACAUUUAAGUCAGGGGUGAAAUCCCAGAGCUCAACUCUGGAACUGCCUUUGAUACUGGGUGUCUUGAGUAUGGAAGAGGUGAGUGGAAUUCCGAGUGUAGAGGUGAAAAUUCGUAGAUAUUCGGAGGAACACCAGUGGCGAAGGCGGCUCACUGGUCCAUUACUGACGCUGAGGUGCGAAAGCGUGGGGAGCAAACAGG